UUUUAUUGAAGAGCCAGUUGAUGUCGAGGCGCAGAUAGUUGGAUGUUUUAUCAUUCCCUGAUGAGUACCUGUUUGAGCGUUUCCGUUUCUCUGCAUCAUCAAUAAUUUAUAUAAACAAUAUUCUCAGCCCUCACAUGACACAUCGUGGACACGCUUUCAGUUCCGAGGAAAUUCUUUGUAUUGGACUUCGUUUUUUUGCCAACGGCAGUUUUUUGUAUAACGUCGGUGAUGCAGAGCAUGUGUCCAAGGCAACUGUCUGUCGGGCUGUCCGAAAUGUGACACUUGCACUGAAACGGCUACUAUGCACGUUUGUAGUGUUCCCAAGUCACAGACCCACCAGACUUCUCAAAGAAGAGUUCCACAGAAUUGCAGGAGAGUUCGAUGGUUACCUACUCGGAGACAGAGGGUACCCCUGCCAGCGCUAUCUGCUGACCCCUUACCCUGACCCUGAGCCUGUCCCACAGCAACACUACAACUUGGCUCACUGCAGGACACGAGCCAGAGAGGAGAUGACCAUCGGGAUACUCAAGUCCCGGUUCCAGUGCCUUGGUAGGCUCAGGGUCACCCCAGAGAGAGCUUGUGACAUUAUAGUGGCAUGUGUGGUUCUCCACAACAUUGCCACUAUUAGUGGAGAACAAUGUCCUACUCUUUUCCCCCUGUGAUCCAGGUAUUAAUCCUACCCCCCCUGCUGAUGCACGAGAUGGAAGAGCUGUUAGAGACAUGAUAUGCGUCAAUCAUUUCUAACUGACCCAUCACCUCCCCAAUGUUAAAUGUUACAAUAUGCAUCUCAUUUUAUGAGGUCUUCUUUAUUUCCUAGAAGGACAAAUUUUGUACAGUUGUUAAUCCUUUGUUGUUGAAACAAUUAAAAAUCAUCCACCUGUGGGCACGUCACCCACCUUUAA